rnacentral:rRNA from 1 species
GAAUCUGGGAGGACCAUCUCCUAAGGCUAAAUACUCUCUAGUGACCGAUAGUGAACCAGUACCGUGAGGGAAAGGUGAAAAGUACCCCGGAAGGGGAGUGAAAGAGAACUUGAAACCGUGUGCUUACAAGUAGUCAGAGCCCGUUAAUGGGUGAUGGCGUGCCUUUUGUAGAAUGAACCGGCGAGUUACGAUCUGAUGCAAGGUUAAGCAGAAAAUGUGGAGCCGUAGCGAAAGCGAGUCUGAAUAGGGCGAAUGAGUAUUUGGUCGUAGACCCGAAACCAGGUGAUCUACCCUUGGUCAGGUUGAAGUUCAGGUAACACUGAAUGGAGGACCGAACCGACUUACGUUGAAAAGUGAGCGGAUGAACUGAGGGUAGCGGAGAAAUUCCAAUCGAACUUGGAGAUAGCUGGUUCUCUCCGAAAUAGCUUUAGGGCUAGCCUCAAGUGAUGAUUAUUGGAGGUAGAGCACUGUUUGGACGAGGGGCCCCUCUCGGGUUACCGAAUUCAGACAAACUCCGAAUGCCAAAUAAUUUAACUUGGGAGUCAGAAUGUGGGUGAUAAGGUCCAUAUUCGAAAGGGAAACAGCCCAGACCACCAGCUAAGGUCCCAAAAUAUAUGUUAAGUGGAAAAGGAUGUGGCGUUGCCCAGACAACUAGGAUGUUGGCUUAGAAGCAGCCAUCAUUUAAAGAGUGCGUAAUAGCUCACUAGUCGAGUGACACUGCGCCGAAAAUGUACCGGGGCUAAACAUAU